CCACCCUGAACAUGCCCGAUCUCGUCUGAUCUCAGAAGCUAAGCAGGGUAGGGCCUGGUUAGUACUUGGAUGGGAAGAAUGUCAUGUAGGGUAAGAGU